AGAGAUGAGCAAGAAAACAGGGAGUUGUUCAAACUGGAAGAUCAAACUAAACAUCAUAGACUGAGCUCUCACGAGGGGCAGUUAAAAUUGGAAAAGAGGAUUGGAUUUUCUUUCAAGAAAAACAGGGAAGUGAUAGCCAUGAGAAUUGACUACUGAGAGCUUAUCUACCAGAAUUGAUAAAACCCCUUUUUUCUUGCAUUUAAAAAAUGAAAGAUCUUUUUAUCUGCCG
rnacentral:lncRNA from 1 species